GGGCGGGGCUCGGCUCCCGUAGGAGUUCAGGCGGAGCCCUUCAGUAGUUGAGGUUGAGAAUGGAGUUUGACUUCCGUAGGAGUCCGGGCGGAGUCCACCUGCAGUCAAGGUUAGGGACAAAGUCCGGCUCCCGUACGAGUCCGAUCGAAAUUUUAUUGCGAGGGGGCCAUUGGGGAAAGUCUCCCCCUUUUUCUCUUCUG
rnacentral:lncRNA from 1 species